AUACGGAGGGGGCUAGCGUUGUUCGGAAUUACUGGGCGUAAAGCGCGCGUAGGCGGAUUGACAAGUUGGAGGUGAAAUCCCGGGGCUCAACCCCGGAACUGCCUUCAGAACUGUCAGUCUUGAGUUCGGAAGAGGUGAGUGGAAUUCCUAGUGUAGAGGUGAAAUUCGUAGAUAUUAGGAAGAACGCCAGUGGCGAAGGCGACUCACUGGUCCGAUACUGACGCUGAGGUGCGAAAGCGUGGGGAGCAAACAGGAUUAGAAACCCCAGUAGUCC
rnacentral:rRNA from 1 species